CAGUCGCCACGGGAAUACGAAGGGUGCAAGCGUUAAUCGGAAUUACUGGGCGUAAAGCGCGCGUAGGUGGUUUGGUAAGAUGGAUGUGAAAUCCCCGGGCUCAACCUGGGAACUGCAUCCAUAACUGCCUGACUAGAGUACGGUAGAGGGUGGUGGAAUUUCCUGUGUAGCGGUGAAAUGCGUAGAUAUAGGAAGGAACACCAGUGGCGAAGGCGACCACCUGGACUGAUACUGACACUGAGGUGCGAAAGCGUGGGGAGCAAACAGGAUUAGAUACCCCUGUAGUCCCUGUCUCUUAUAU
rnacentral:rRNA from 1 species